rnacentral:rRNA from 1 species
UACGUAGGGUGCAAGCGUUGUCCGGAAUUAUUGGGCGUAAAGAGCUCGUAGGCGGUUUGUCGCGUCGAAUGUGAAAACCCGGGGCUCAACCCCGGGCCUGCAUUCGAUACGGGCAGACUAGAGUUCGGUAGGGGAGUCUGGAAUUCCUGGUGUAGCGGUGAAAUGCGCAGAUAUCAGGAGGAACACCGAUGGCGAAGGCAGGUCUCUGGGCCAUAACUGACGCUGAGAAGCGAAAGCAUGGGGAGCGAACAGG